rnacentral:tRNA from 1 species
UCCAUCGUAGUGUAGUGGUUUAGCAUGUCGGGUUUUCAGAUUCUCUCGAUCAAGACUUCCCGAAGACCCGGGUUCAAACCCCGGCGAUGGAA